GACGAACGCUGGCGGCGUGCUUAACACAUGCAAGUCGAGCGGUAAGGCCCUUUCGGGGGUACACGAGCGGCGAACGGGUGAGUAACACGUGGGUGACCUGCCCUCAGCUCUGGGAUAAGCCUGGGAAACCGGGUCUAAUACUGGAUAUGACUCCAUGACGCAUGUUGUGGGGUGGAAAGCCUUGUGCGGCUGAGGAUGGGCCCGCGGCCUAUCAGCUUGUUGGUGGGGUGANGGCCUACCAAGGCGACGACGGGUAGCCGGCCUGAGAGGACGAUCAGCCACACUGGCACUGCGACGCGGGCCAGACUCCUACGGGAGGCAGCAGUAAGGAAUAUUGCGCAAUGGGCGAAAGCCUGACGCAGCGACGCCGCGUGGGGGAGUGAAGGUCUUCGGAUUGUAAACCCCUUUCGGAGGGAAAAUGGAACGAGCAAUCGUUCGGAUGGUACCUCCAGAAGCAGCCACGGCUAACUUCGUGCCAGCAGCCG
rnacentral:rRNA from 1 species